UUUUUUUUUUACAAACAAGAAAAACUUUAAUCAGAAAACAAAAAACGAACACUGCAGGUCAGCAGACAACGGCUCUGUGCUGCCCGGAGGGCUGUUAACGGCAGCAAAACCUGACGAAGCGGGCACAGGAGGAAAGGGGCAGCGAUAUGAGAUUUUGAGAGAAAGAGAACAUCCACAAACCCCGACCAAGCCUUCAGAAAUCCCCAGAUGGGUGGCUGUUUCCAGGGGGGAGAGUGGCCACUGAAGAAACAGGGGCCCCAAAUGCUGGGUGGGCUUACCAGAGCAUUGCUGAAUAAAAAGGGGCAACUGAGGAGAGACGGUGUCACACAGAUGGAAGUUUACCUGGUGAAUCAUUCAGCAAUGUAGUCACAGGAGAGAAGUGCAGGAGGGAAUCUUCCUGUCAAGACACAGGCUGUGGAUGGGCUUCCUGUGCUGAUGCUGGUGGAUAAUGAAGGGCUGCUGCUCCUGCUAGGAUGCUGGAUGACCCCGAGAAAGACUCACUGAAGAAAAGUCUCAUGGAGCUGUGAUGAGAGACAAGAGACCCAGGAAGACCCCUGCGGGACGUCCAGAGUGAGCAGGCAGUGAGAGGUGAGCCAACAAAUGAUCCUGAGAGGACCCCUGCCCUAGUAAUUGGAUGGAGCCCCUUAGGAUCCCCAUGACAAGAUCCUGUUACUAAGGACCCUGGAUGAAGUGACCCCCAGGAGAUAGUAUCGUGGCGCUGAACUACAAGGGCUAAGAAGGCAGGAGGCAGGUGAAGAUGCUGGUCACAGAAGUCAGGGGCAGAGAGGACAUUGAGGCCUUGGCAAGCUGUAGGUGCUUUGUUUUGGGUGACAUAACCCUUGGAUUUGUUGAUUUAUUUGUGUGCUAGAGAACACAAAGACUUUCUUUAUUUUUGAGCAGGUAAGUGCCCUUGGCCUGUGUUUGUGCUUGUUUGUUUUAAUGGUCUGUAUGCUGUUUUUGACUGUCAUUUGUGUUCUCUUGUAGGUGCUUUGUUUUGGGUGACAUAACCCUUGGAUUUGUUGAUUUAUUUGUGUGCUAGAGAACACAAAGACUUUCUUUAUUUUUGAGCAGGUAAGUGCCCUUGGCCUGUGUUUGUGCUUGUUUGUUUUAAUGGUCUGUAUGCUGUUUUUGACUGUCAUUUGUGUUCUCUUGUAGGUGCUUUGUUUUGGGUGACAUAACCCUUGGAUUUGUUGAUUUAUUUGUGUGCUAGAGAACACAAAGACUUUCUUUAUUUUUGAGCAGAAAAAAUGUACGCUCCUGCAAUCCUUUCCCUGAAUGCCAAGUUUACUGGAAGUUCACAUGAUGCAUAUGUCAUUAGACAAUCAGGGAUAUGGCAGAGAUUAAGAUCAAGUCAACGAGCAGACAUGUGGUUAUUGGGAGACCGUGGAUAUCCUUGCACCCCCUGGCUCAUGACUCCUUACCGUAAUCCCAGGCCAGGACCACAGAUGGCAUUUAACUCCACGCUUACUGCCACUAGGCAGCUGGUGGAGCGCACAAUUGGUGUCCUUAAAGGGCGGUUUCGUGUGCUCCACCGCACUGGUGGCGACAUCAUGUAUUCGCCGGAGAUGGCAAGUAAAAUAGUGGUCCUGUGCGCAAUACUACAUAAUAUCGCGGUAAGGAGUAGUGUAGAGCUUCCUCAGGCAGAGGAAUUGCCUGAUGAGGAGCCAGGGGUUGUUCGACACUUCGGUGGGGGGAGUGUUACACGGAGGGGGAGCCAAGUCAGGGCAAGGAUUGUUGCCGAAUAUUUCAGGUAUAGUGUUUUGAUAUUUUCUUUUUAAAAAUAUUUAAAAGCACAGUAUGCUUAUGUUUUUUUAUAAAUGUUGACAUUUUGUAUGAUAUUGUAAAGUGAUUGUGUAAUGCUUUUGUUGUGUUGGAAUGUGUAAUUUUUCUUAUCGUCAAAAUCCGCAAACACGUUAAGCUUACAAUGUUUGGUUAGAAAACAAAAUACUGUAAUGUUGCUAAAUAGUGUCCUUAUUUGUUUUAUAUCCUCAAAUCCUGAUUAUGUAAACAAACACACAAACAAAUGAUACUCAAUGUUGCCCACUUUGUGACUGUCCAGCUGAAUGAUCACACAAACUGUGGACGACAACAACGGCAGAGCUCGCAGCCCCCUUCCCCUUCCCAGUCCCCCUCCCCUUCUCAAUCCCCCUCCCCUUCCCAGUCCCCCUCCCCUUCUCAAUCCCCCUCCCCUUCCCAGUCCACAUCAGCUUCCCACGCCCCCUCAGCUUCCCAGUCCCCCUCAACUUCCCACUCCCCCUCAGCUUCCCAGUCCCCCUCAGCUUCCCAGUCCCCCUCAGCUUCCCAGUCCCCCUCAGCUUCCAACGCCCCCUCAGCUUCCCUGGCCCACUCCACUUUCCACUCCCCUUCUCACCCCACCUCUCCAUCUCUUUCUGUCACCCCUUCUCCUCCUUCCCAUACCCCUUCUCCUUCAACUUCAAAAUCCCCUUCUCAGCCCCCCUCACCCUCUAUUGGCUUAACUUUCUCUCCGCACCCCUCGCCCUCACAAUCAGACCCACCCUCUGAAAAUAAAUCCCCAAUCCAGCCUCCUUCCCCCAUCCAGCCUCCUUCCCCCAUCCCUCCUCCUUCCCCAAUCCCUCCUCCUUCCCCCAUCCACCCGCCUUCCCCCAUCCAGCCGCCUUCCCCACCCAGUGAGUGGGCACAAGAAGCCCCUGAUGUGUUUCCUGCAAGCCAUCAUGUUGCAGAGGAAAAUGUUGCCGUUGGAGAUCCCACAUCUGUUGCGGCCAUUAUUGGGAGCAUGCGAAGCCAUCUCCAGGCCUUGCUGGGUCUUGUUGACCGAAUCCAAUCGUUGUAAUUUUUGUUUAUAA